GGCGGUGUAGUUCAGUGGUAGGUGACUUCCUAACAUUUGCGAGGCUCUGGGUUCAAUUCCCGGCACCACCU
rnacentral:tRNA from 1 species